rnacentral:rRNA from 1 species
AAGGCCUUCGGGUUGUAAACCGCGUUUUGUCAGGGAACGAAAUCCUUUAGAAAUAAUACUUCGGAGGGAUGACGGUACCUGAAGAAUAAGCACCGGCUAACUACGUGC